UUAAAGUGGUACGCGAGCUGGGUUUAGAACGUCGUGAGACAGUUCGGUCCCUAUCUGCCGUGGACGUUGGAGAUUUGAGGAAAGCUGCUCCUAGUACGAGAGGACCGGAGUGGACGAACCUCUGGUGUUCGGGUUGUGACGCCAGUCGCAUUGCCCGGUAGCUAUGUUCGGACAGGAUAACCGCUGAAAGCAUCUAAGUGGGAAGCCCGCCUCGAGAUGAGUACUCUCAUCCUUUAAGGAGUAAGGUCACGGCAAGACUAGCCGUUUUGAUAGGCAUUAGGUCGAAGUGUAGUAAUAUAUGAAGCCGAGAUGUACUAAUAGACCGAGGACUUG
rnacentral:rRNA from 1 species